rnacentral:rRNA from 1 species
ACUCCUACGGGAGGCAGCAGUGGGGAAUAUUGCACAAUGGGCGCAAGCCUGAUGCAGCCAUGCCGCGUGUGUGAAGAAGGCCUUCGGGUUGUAAAGCACUUUCAGUCGUGAGGAAGGUGGUAGUGUUAAUAGCACUAUCAUUUGACGUUAGCGACAGAAGAAGCACCGGCUAACUCCGUGCCAGCAGCCGCGGUAAUACGGAGGGUGCGAGCGUUAAUCGGAAUUACUGGGCGUAAAGCGCAUGCAGGUGGUUUGUUAAGUCAGAUGUGAAAGCCCGGGGCUCAACCUCGGAAUAGCAUUUGAAACUGGCAGACUAGAGUACUGUAGAGGGGGUAGGAAUUUCAGGUGUAGCGGUGAAAUGCGUAGAGAUCUGAAGGAAUACCGGUGGCGAAGGCGGCCCCCUGGACAGAUACUGACACUCAGAUGCGAAAGCGUGGGAGCAAACAGGAUUAGAUACCCCUGGUAGACUGUCA